rnacentral:rRNA from 1 species
GAAAGUCUGACGGAGCAACGCCGCGUGAGUGAUGACGGCCUUCGGGUUGUAAAGCUCUGUUAAUCGGGACGAAAGGCCUUCUUGCGAAUAGUGAGAAGGAUUGACGGUACCGGAAUAGAAAGCCACGGCUAACUACGUGCCAGCAGCCGCGGUAAUACGUAGGUGGCAAGCGUUGUCCGGAAUUAUUGGGCGUAAAGCGCGCGCAGGCGGAUAGGUCAGUCUGUCUUAAAAGUUCGGGGCUUAACCCCGUGAUGGGAUGGAAACUGCCAAUCUAGAGUAUCGGAGAGGAAAGUGGAAUUCCUAGUGUAGCGGUGAAAUGCGUAGAUAUUAGGAAGAACACCAGUGGCGAAGGCGACUUUCUGGACGAAAACUGACGCUGAGGCGCGAAAGCCAGGGGAGCGAACGGGAUUAGAUACCCCGGUAGUCCUGGCCGUAAACGAUGGGUACUAGGUGUAGGAGGUAUCGACCCUUCUGUGCCGGAGUAACGCAAUAAGUACCCCGCCUGGGGAGUACGACCGCAAGGUUGAAACUCAAAGGAAUUGACGGGGGCCCGCACAAGCGGUG